rnacentral:rRNA from 1 species
AACGAACGCUGGCGGCAGGCUUAACACAUGCAAGUCGAACGCAUCGCAAGAUGAGUGGCAGACGGGUGAGUAACGCGUGGGAACAUACCCUUUUCUACGGAAUAGCUCUGGGAAACUGGAAUUAAUACCGUAUACGCCCUACGGGGGAAAGAUUUAUCGGGGAAUGAUUGGCCCGCGUGGGAUUAGCUAGUUAGAGGGGUAAAGGCCUCCCAAGGCGACGACCCAUAGCUGGUCUGAGAGGAUGAUCAGCCACAUUGGGACUGAGAUAAGGCCCAAACUCCGACGGGAGGCAGCAGUUGGGAAUAUUGGACAAGGGUCGCAAGCCUGAUCCAGCCAUGCCGCGUGAGUGAUGAAGGCCUUAGGGAUGUAAAGCUCUUUCACCGAUGAAGAUAAUGACGGUAGUCGGAGAAGAAGCCCCGGCUAACUUCGUGCCAGCCGCCGCGGUAAUAC